rnacentral:tRNA from 1 species
GCAGUGGUGGUACAGUAGUAAAAUUUUUGCUUUAGAUGCAGGAGUCGUGGGUUCAAAUCUCAGCCAAUGCC